AGUGAACGCUGGCGGUAGGCCUAACACAUGCAAGUCGAACGGCAGCACCGUAAGAGCUUGCUCUUACGGGUGGCGAGUGGCGGACGGGUGAGGAAUACAUCGGAAUCUACUUUUUCGUGGGGGAUAACGUAGGGAAACUUACGCUAAUACCGCAUACGACCUACGGGUGAAAGCAGGGGAUCUUCGGACCUUGCGCGAUUGAAUGAGCCGAUGUCGGAUUAGCUAGUUGGCGGGGUAAAGGCCCACCAAGGCGACGAUCCGUAGCUGGUCUGAGAGGAUGAUCAGCCACACUGGAACUGAGACACGGUCCAGACUCCUACGGGAGGCAGCAGUGGGGAAUAUUGGACAAUGGGCGCAAGCCUGAUCCAGCCAUACCGCGUGGGUGAAGAAGGCCUUCGGGUUGUAAAGCCCUUUUGUUGGGAAAGAAAAGCAGCAGGUUAAUACCCCGCUGUUCUGACGGUACCCAAAGAAUAAGCGUCGGCUAACUUCGUG
rnacentral:rRNA from 1 species